rnacentral:rRNA from 1 species
UGAGGAAUUUUGCGCAAUGGGGGAAACCCUGACGCAGCAACGCCGCGUGAGUGAUGAAGGCCUUCGGGUCGUAAAGCUCUGUCAAGUGGGAAGAAUCUGCCCGGCGAUAAUACCGCUGGGCAAUGACGGUACCGCUGAAGGAAGCACCGGCUAACUCCGUGCCAGCAGCCGCGGUAAUACGGGGGGUGCUAGCGUUAUUCGGAAUCAUUGGGCGUAAAGGGCGCGUAGGCGGUCUUUUAAGUCAGAUGUGAAAGCCCUCGGCUUAACCGAGGAAGUGCAUUUGAUACUAAGAGACUUGAGUAUGGGAGAGGGAAGCGGAAUUCCUGGUGUAGCGGUGAAAUGCGUAGAUAUCAGGAGGAACACCGGUGGCGAAGGCGGCUUCCUGGACCAAUACUGACGCUGAGGCGCGAAGGCGUGGGGAGCAAACAG